AUUGAACGCUGGCGGCAUGCCUUACACAUGCAAGUCGAACGGUAACAGGUCUUCGGAUGCUGACGAGUGGCGAACGGGUGAGUAAUACAUCGGAACGUGCCCGAUCGUGGGGGAUAACGAAGCGAAAGCUUUGCUAAUACCGCAUAAGAUCUAUGGAUGAAAGCAGGGGACCGCAAGGCCUUGCGCGAACGGAGCGGCCGAUGGCAGAUUAGGUAGUUGGUGGGAUAAAAGCUUACCAAGCCGACGAUCUGUAGCUGGUCUGAGAGGACGACCAGCCACACUGGGACUGAGACACGGCCCAGACUCCUACGGGAGGCAGCAGUGGGGAAUUUUGGACAAUGGGCGAAAGCCUGAUCCAGCCAUGCCGCGUGCAGGAUGAAGGCCUUCGGUUUGUAAACUGCUUUUGUACGGAACGAAAAGACUCUUUCUAAUAAAGAGGGUCCAUGACGGUACCGUAAGAAUAAGCACCGGCUAACUACGUGCCAGCCGCCGCCGUAA
rnacentral:rRNA from 1 species